rnacentral:tRNA from 1 species
AGGAGUGUAGCUCAACCGGCAGAGCACCGGUCUCCAAAACCGGGGGUUGGGGGUUCGAGUCCCUCCACUCCUGCCA